UGCGCAGUGUAUCUGGGCAGGUUGGCGGGUUUGGGUUGGCGGAGCCGUGGCAGCAGACGGGGCGGCCGCUCGCUCUGCUGGCUCCGGCGUGGCCUGCACCUCACGCCCUGUGGAAAGGAGCCGGUGGGCGGAGGUUCCCCGGCACAGGUGGGAGCAGUCUUUCGCGAGGAGCACGCGUGGGGACAGCGAAGGGCCGGCGCCUCGCGCCCUCGCACGGCCGCGCUGAGCCGAGCAGCUUCUGUCCACAGAGCGUCGGGGCCGCGCGGCCAUGCGCCCCGUCGCCAUUGCGCCCCGCCUCCUGCUGGCCUGCAGCCUGGCCCUCGGGCCCCUGCUGGCAGUCUCCUGGGAGAUUCAGAUGAGUGACCUAGAGGAGAAGGAUGUUGAUGAAUUCAGUUCCAGUGGUUUUAAAUGCCCAACUUGUAUUGCAGUACAGGGAAGAAAAUGUCAUGUAGAAUUCAAAUGGUGUGCAGCAGAUCAAAUAAACUGUUUUGAAUUCUUGGGCAUCAUAAACACAGGUAUUAGCAACAUGACUAUUGAAGUGAAGAAGUGCAUACGAGCAGAACUAUGUGAAGAGAAGAUAACUUAUUAUGUGGGUUUUCCAGUUACUAAUGGGACUAGGAAUUGCAAAUCAGCCAUCAAAAAUGGGGCCAGAGGCAGACCAGCAGCUCCCAUCUUCCUUGUUCUCUUCCUGGGGAAGCUGCUUCACUGAGCUCCUGCAAGGGCCCAGCCACCUGCAUUUGUGAAUUAAACUUGCAUUGUUUGUUUAUA